GCCCCCGUAGCUCAGCGGUCAGAGCAGACGACUCAUAAUCGUUUGGUCGCUGGUUCAAACCCAGCCGGGGGCACCA
rnacentral:tRNA from 1 species